rnacentral:ncRNA from 2 species
GAAUUGGGGAAUCUAUGGGGCGAUCGCCCCUCGGUUUUGCCAACUCUGUGGGGAAAGUCCGGUGCAAAUCCGGCGCUGUGCCGCAACUGUGAAUGAGGGGUUUGAGCCUUGCCGGAGCGCAUUAGGCAAAACCCGCCUCAAAGUCAGAAUGCCCGCCCGAUGUUGUCCAUUGCG